rnacentral:lncRNA from 10 species
UUUUGUUACUCUGAGGGGUGCACCGAUGCCUUUUCCAGGGGAGGACUUGUGAGCCCAGCUGCUGCCUCCGCUGCCACCCCUCAGGGAUUGUCUCCAUUCCAGGGUGCCAGCUGUGUCAUGACUGACGGAGGCUGGAGAUGGAGGCCUGAUCAUUCCGGCCCAAUAUGGAGGCAUUCCAAUGGCCAUUUCAGCUCCAGAACUCAGGGGUUUUGCUCCCCAGAGAGCUGUGCCUUCACACCAGGAGCAUAUCCCUGGGUCGCCUUGUCGGCAGGAUGACCUUUGGUUCAGCCUAAAUAGGUCCUAUGCUAUUCCAGUCCCCUUCCCCCUGCCUCUCAGGAGAAACCUCCACAAGCUCAAGUUAUUUCCGAUGUCAAAUCUGCGAGUGUCUAUUUCCUGUAGACAUCUCCUGGCCUCCCUCCUCCUCCUACCAGGGCUGGUCACUCUCCAAGCCUCCUGCCCCAGGGCCACCCUUGCCCCUCUCCUGGGUUGGUAUCUGAUAUGGUUUGGCUGUGUCCCCAUCCAAGUCUCACCUUGAAUUGUAAAUAAUCCUCAUGUGUCAAGGGUGGUGACAGGUGGAGAUAAUUGAAUCAUGGGGGCUGUUUCCAGCAUACUGUUCUCGUGGUAGUAAAUAAGUCUCAUGAGAUCUGAUGGUUUUAUAAAUGGGAGUUCCCUUGCACAAGCUCUCUUGCCUGCCGCCAUGUAAGACAUGCCUUUGCUUCUCCUUUGCCUUCUGCCAUGAUUGUGAGGCCUCCCCGGCCAUGUGGAACUGUGAGUUCAUUAAACCUCUUUUCUUUAUACAUUACUCAGUCUCAGGUACGUCUUUAUUAGCAGCGUGAUAACAGACUAAUAUGGUAUCUUAGUCUGGGUUUCCCCUAGAAAGCAGAGCCUGAGACCCAGGCCUGCAUGCUCGUAGUUGAUUCUAGAAGGUGAUCCCAGGAGACAGGAGAAGGGAAAUGUAACCCAAGGGUGGGCUAUUGAGUUGGUCACGGCUGUGGGCAGCUGGGGCUCCAUCCUGAUGGGUCUUUCCAAGGAGCUUAGUAGAAGGGUCCCCUGAAUUCCAUGCCUGAGAGACCAUGUGAGGAGCUUGUAUCCACCUGCUCCUGUUCCCUGAUGGCCAAGGCUGGCCUCGAGGGGCUGUACAUCCCUUGCACUUCUGUGAUGAGCAUUUACGUGUGGGGUUUCACAGAUGCCUGCACUUGGCACUGUGAGGUUGUGCCUGGACAGAGUGGUGGGGAGAGUAGAAGGUGGCCUGGGAAGAGAGGUUGUCUGUGAUGGAUGCGGGUUCUCUUCCUGGUGGCUUGUGCAUUUGUUCUGGCGGAGCUGUUUUCAGGCAGUUUCAUCUGGUUCAAAAGAGGGGAUGGUGACAGAGGGUACAGUGAUGGCAACUUCUUAAGCCACCCAACUGCCUGCUGGACAGUGUCCUGAAAUUUCACAAUGAUGUGGCCUUGCUGUGAGUCAGUUUUUUUUUGUUGUUUUUUUUUUUGGCAGAUUUUCACUCUUGUUGCCCAGGCUGGAGUGCAAUGGCACUGUCUCAGCUCACUGCAACCUCCGCCUCCCAAGUUCAAGCAAUUCUCCUGCUUCAGCCU